AUUUUUUUUAAGAUAUAGCGUCAAGUUGGAAUGAUUUGAUAAUCAAAUAAGGACCAGCACAUCAUAAACACUGAAAAAAAUCUAAACAGAAUUUACACUCUCACACCAAUCAAACACUGGAAAAAAUACAAGUGCAAUUACUGGCUGCUAUGUGAACUAUUAUCUACCAAAUGAUUUUCUUACAGUACUGAGAUCUUUGUCUCCAUACUGCAUGCUUUCAACAAAUGUCGUUUGCAUUUCACCCGGGAAACACAGAAACUCCUUUUUAAUAUCUAUACAAAAAAGCUAAAUGUUUGACAAUAAGUUGUCUACAGUAAAUAGCUGACAGGGAAAAAACUGUUCAAAGUUGGAAACAAAUAGAAAUUUACAACCCUGCCGUUGUAAAAUUCAUAUUAAAUUCACAAGGUGGAGAUCCACAGAUGGAAAAGAGAUGGGUUUUGGAGAAAGACAAGAUGGUAGAUUGAACUAAGAAGACUCUGAAGUAGGUAAGAACUGUGUGGGAGAAAUAUUUUUUUUGUAUGUUUCUUGAAAAUUAAGGCAAUAACUUGUAAAGAUAGCACUGGGAGAACAGAACAUCCUGAGGUGGCCUGAGAAGUCAGGAAAAGAGACUGCAUGAUGCGCGGUGCUCAGUUGUCUCUUCAAGAGAAAGAGGGGCUUGAAGAAAUGAGUGUGUAGACAAAUGUGAUAAGCAGAGAAAUUGUUGGAAAUAAAUAUUUGGAAAUCAUGUCAUCCUCCUAGGUGAAAUAAAAAAAUGUUGACAUUACCAGGAAGCAAAAAUGGCACAACCUCAACCUGCAGAGGUAGAUAAACAGUCAAGGACAUUGACCACCUGAACUGCAAGAAAAGUAUUUGGAUGGAGCACAGACUGAAAAAAUGAAAGUUGAAAAGAGUUGUUGAAGAUGGAGAGAUGGAGAAUGGUUAGAAAAUUCCAAAAGGUUAGGCUUUUGAUUCAAAGAUGGAAAAGCAAAAGCAAAUUGUUUUCUCAGAGCUAGAAGGCAAUAUGAAGAAAUAGAUAAAGUUAAUUAUUCCUGGAAUGUUGAGGCAAGCUGAAAAUAUUAAGAGCACAAUAUUAAAAGAUAACUUUUCUCCCUCGCAUUUUAUUGAAAAUCAUAUUUUUGUUAAAAGGGCUACAUAGAAAGCUACAGAGAAACAAGUUGCUCCCAUGGACACACUGAAUGCCAACAUAAGCAUAGAGCGGAAUAAGAUGGUUACAAUAAUACAUCAGGUAAAGUGGAAAUCAUGAAUGAAAAAAUAACAUCAGGCAAAGAACAAUCAAGGCAACACAAAGAAAGCUGAGGAGAAGAUUUGUCAUAGCAACUAAAUAACUCACUGUUGAAGGUGCAGGAAUCAGCCUCAAAAGAAGCCAGUUUUCUCAGAUAAUUUUUAGUCUCUGAAGUAAGACCAAAGAUGUACUCUUCACAAAGAAUCGCCAGACAAGAUCAUUGACUUGCUGAGGGAGCUGAGGCCCUCCACAAGUUUAAUUGCAUUAGAUGCAGCAAACUGUGGCUUGUGUGAGGAUCUGAAUAACCCUGUUUCCUGGUACAAAGCACAAUUUAAAUUGGAAACAAGGAUCAUAUAAAGGUUUGGAAACUCAAUCCCAAAAAUAAUGUGUUGCUUACAAUGUGUUGUUCAAAAGGAAUAAACAUUUAGGGAAUGUGUUUUCAAAUAGAGAUUUUUCAUGUUUUAAUUAAAGCUUUUAGCAGUGUGAAGACAGAAUGUGGAAAAAUGAGGUCUUCGAUGCAAAAGGAAGAGUUUUGGCAUUACUCUGAAGAGAAGGACCACAACAGGAGAUAAACAGAUCUUAAGAUAACCAAACCAUGUGCUGAUGAAGGAACAGAAAUGUGAACGUGUGAUUCACUUAGCAAAGGAACACUCUUUCUUCUCAUAGACAUAGUUUUGCUCAUCACUUCUUUGGAAAUGAAACUAUAAGCAAAGCACAAACAUGGGAUGGUCAGAACAUGUGGCUGCAACAAUAAGAGCACUGCAGAGACAGGAGUUACAAAGCAGAAAAGGAUGAAAAAGCUGGAGCUGUCACACAAAACACUUCUUGUGACAAUCGAUCAACUAAAUGUGAAGUUGCACCAGGUUGAAAAUGCAAAUGUGCGUGUUAAAGGGAAAUUACGAGACAUUCAGGAGGACCUGAUAAACUUGGUUGAAAAUCAAGAAAAGUCAGAGAAGAAGCAAAAGGAAAAAUUACGUUGGCUUCAGGAGCAGCUGAAGACAAAAGAAGAUGAAAUAAAAAGCCAGUCAGAGUAUUUUGAACACUACAAACAAAGGCAGAGACAGCAGACAGCAGUGCUGAGAGAAAGGGAAUGUUACCUUCGGGGUGAGGUAUCUAGGCUGGAAAAGCAAGUCCUAGAUCUUAGUGCCCAUACUGCUCUUUUGACAUCCGAGUUAGAAGAAGGAAUGGUGCAGUAUCUCCAGCAGAAGCUGGAAUCAGCAUUCAGUGGGACUCAGGGCUAUAAACACUCUGACGUGGAUGUAAUGGAAUUGAAAACUUGCAUUGAAAAUGUGGAGCAUGACAUGAAAAGCCACCUCAAGACAUUUCAGCAAAAUCUGAAGUUCUUAAGUGAAAAAGAGGAGGACAACAGAAGAGAACAGGCAGACCUGCUGACUGAACUCCAGUGCUCUCAGGACACUGAAGACUUUCUCAGAAGAAAAUUGGAAGAAUCUUGCCAUCAUGUUUAUAGUCUGAAAUUAUCUGAAAUCAGACUACAGGAAAAAAUGGAAGAGCUUUUGGAUGAAAAUAGGGCUUUAAAAGAUCAAAGUAGGGUGAAGGUGAAAAAAGAGAAAGAAAAGGACUCACGACUGACAAGGUUGGAGAAUGGAGACAGCAGUGUUGACCUGAAUGGAGAUCUAAUCCAGGACAACGUUCAAAAUCUGAGAUGGAAAGCAGUCUUGGACUCACUCAGAAGCAGAGCUACUCAAACUCCAUUUGGGCUGCUACAUGCUAAAGAGUCUGAAACACCAGGAUGUAGCUGUGAUGGGCUAAAGCAGAUGGAGGAGCUACCAGAAGAACUUCUGCCAGUUUUUGACCACAAUUCCAGUGCCUUUGCAAAAGUUACUGGUCUAGCUAAGAUUGAGCAGGUCACCCUUGGAACAAAGAGGGGAGGUACUCUAGAAGAUAGUUUCACUUUGUUCAGAUGUAUCCCUAGUUAUUGUGGAGCAAGACUGCUUCCCCCUUGCUCUGAGAAGUUCCCUAGCAAUGAGAAAAGGAAGGAAAACAAAGAUGAAGAAAACUUUUCUCUCUUGAAUGAACAAGGUAUAAAUCUGCCGGCAAAGAUGUUUCCUGCUCCUAUGGUUGAACCUGUGAUGAGAAAGAAGCUCCAACUUACCUUGUUAGAACCUGAAAGCUACCACAUACCAGCUGUCACCACUGUGAAGAAAGUGAGGAGUUUGGAAUUCUGUGAGGCAAAUACCAAUCUUUGCUCUGAUGUCCUCUUUGUUGUUGCAGAAGGAGGAUUUUCUGACAAAGCUUCUGCACUUUUUCAUGGAAAGAUGCCUUGCACUGUGACUGAAGUUUUCACAUCAUCUCUAGAAAAAUACAACGUAGAAAAACAUUAUGAAAACAAUAAAAUUCUGCCCAAAAGCAUAAGUGAAAAUAAAUGUCUGGAUAAAGUUGUUGAUGAUGGAAAAUAUCACCAAAAAGUCUUUAGAGGGAGAACUAAAGGAGGAGAAAUAGAGACUGAGAAAGCCCAAUCACAACAGGUGACCUGUGUUCCUGAAGAAAGUUUUAAACUCUUAAAUAAAACUGAAUUGAUCAGGCCUGGGAAGCAGGGAAUGGGAGCCAAAGACAGCCUAGGUAGCCCACAGGAUGUCCAAAAUUUAUCUGUUGAUUUUAAAAACUCAAAGAAACAUUUUGAAGGGAUCCCUGAACUAAUGGAGGAACAAGGAAACUUCUCAGAAAUCUGCAUCUAUGAUAUGAAUAGGGUAUAUAAUGGAGAAGACAUAAUCAAAAUGGAGGAGAAAGGAAAGCAACCUCAGAAACAAACUCACCAAACAAACCCUUCCAGAAAUAUUGGCCUGAAAGAAAAGAAAGACCAGACCCUGAAACUAUGUGAAUCAAAUGAGAAGAAUUUCUCAUGUCAAAAUAUAGCUGCUGAAAGCAUGCAAUUUGCGUACCCUCAGAAAAUUUUUUGGUCAGAGGAAGAGAGGUAUCUGAUAAACAUAUUGCCUCCUAUGCAGGAGAGGAUUGUGUGCUUCAGCAAACUGUUCCUGCCAGAGAGCAAUUUUUAUGAGUGUUGCUGUCAUCUGUCACCACUGGAAGCUGGUAAUGAACAUGAUGUGAAAAUAUAUGCACUAGAAAAAGUAGUGGCUGUGUGUUCUCAGAGGAUAUUUCUACUCAUGCAAGAAAAUGAAAAUUACUCAAAGAAAAUCAGUAUAUUACAACAGGAGAAUGAGAAAUAUGCUCAGAUGAUGUGUGCACUAGAAGAGGAGAUGGAUGCAUAUUUUCAAUACAUUUUAGCAGCAGAUGAAGCUAAUAUUGUUUCAUUCCAAAACUUACUUAAUGAGAAAGAAGUUGCUGGUGCAUGUUAUAAUAACUUAACAGAAGAAAACACCAUGACCCCAGGAACAUUUUUUGUUGAAACCUUCUCUAAGAACCUCUCAUGUGGUGAAGAGAAAAAUAGGAAUUCUGAAAAAGCCUCGUUGACAAUUGCAUCAAAUAAUCUUCCCAGGAGUGUUUCAUCCCUGGAUGGAAGGAAAAUGAGAUAUUUCCAGCUGCUUUCUGACCUGAAAGAAGAAAGAAGCAGAUGUUUCAAAGAAAUAGCUAAAUUAUUACAAGACAAGGAUAACUAUUUAGCAAAAUAUAAUGAAUUAAUACAAGAGAGAGAAGGAAAUUUUCAAAGAAUAUCUCUGUUAGAAGGCGAAAAAGAAAUGUUAUUGGGAUGUUUGACAGAAGUAAAAUGUGAACAAGACAAAUACAGGACCUUGGUUUCACAACUUCAAGAAUGCAAAACCAGCUGUUAUCAGACUAUUUCUGAUUUACGGGAGGAAAAAUGUGUACUGAAAAGAGAAAUAGACAGAAUAGAGAAAGAAACUUCAGAACAGCUUGAUGAAUUUCAUAAAGUAAAUGCAAACUUUGUUUUAGAAAAUAACAAAUUGAAAGAACUAAUAUCAUCUUUGGGUUUUACCUAUGAAGAGCUGAUAAAAGAUAAAAGUUUGGGAACAAAGGAAAAGGUAGUAAAACUAAAAGAAGAAAGUCAACAAUGUGGUCUUAAGCCAAAGAAAGUUGAAACAGAAUGUCGUGUAACUCAGACUGAAGAAGGAGUUCCAAAUAAAGACCCCUCAGACUAUUUCCCUGGAAAAGAGGGCAGCAUGUUUGAAAGCUAUAGUGUGAUGAAAGAGCAAGUCAGAAAGGUGAAAGAAGAACUAAAAAUACAGCACAAGGAAUUAGAAAAAUCAAAAAAAGAGGCUCAGAAGUGGUACAGGGAACUUGGUUUUGCUGAAACGAGAUAUGAAGAAAUCAGAACUCGUUUGACACAGGCUCUCUCAGAAUUAGACCAUCUUAAACAAGAGGCUGGGGACAAAACGCUUACAAAGCAGCACUACAAAUUACUGCCUGUGUAUGCUGUGGAAGAUGACCGGGAAAUAGAGGAGACUAAAAUAGCAAAUAAGAGAUUACAGCAGCAAGUGCUGACCUUGAAAGCCCAGCUCAGGGACCAGGAUUCAUUACAAAAUCAGUUUCAUGACUUGCAGAAUGAAGUGGAACUCCUUCAGGCCCAGCUAUGUGAAAAGGAACAAGAACUUCAGAAGAGGAAGUCUGAAGAGAAGUUGAUGCUGGCUCCUCUGAAGGCUAAGCUGGCUUGCCUCACCCGAAAAUGCCAGGAAAGGAACAGCUUCAUUACAAGGAUGCAAGGCGAAUUUCACAGGCGAGGAAUUAUUAAUUCUGCAUUUGAUGAAGAGGUGAAAAAUCUGGUGAAUGACAUGUCCCUGACAGAGUACACAGUCACUUUUACACCAGUGUGUGAUCAAGAGAUGCUGACUUCUUCCAUGGACAUUUCACAGGCCAAUGGACAGCCAGAGGAUCAUGAGACAUAUGUCAAAGUGAAUGCGAUGUCUGGGUCAAUACCUGCAAACUCUCCGCAAGCAGUGGACAGCAUCCACAGAUCUCCCAUUACUCCAACUGUGUAUGCUGGUUCUCCUGUAAAGUUAACAAGCCCAGAGAGGAUCAUAGCCCUCCAUCAAGAACUAAGACAAAACCAUCGCAAAAAUUGCCAGAUACCUUCAGUUGUCUUCUCCAGCUCAAACCUGAAAGCUGACUGCAACCUGCCCAUGAUCCAUGAGGAAGCCCCUUGGCCUCUGCUGUCAAGGGUGAAGGAUGCACUGGAGCCUCCGGAGCGUAGUGCUUUCUCGGCCACAAAGGGGAGGGAUCGGUUGUCGAAAUGUGAUGAUGUAUUUUGGGGUCAAGUAGGAAAUCAGCAUGCAGGUGCUAUUCCUCAGGGAGCGAAACAGAAAAGUGCCAUUAUGAAUAAGGCAUGGCUCUCUAGAGAAAAAACAGAUGGCUCAACCUCAGCUACCACAGCAAAAAGCUAUUUGUCAGACGUGUUGUCAGCAAGUAAUAAGGGUCGAAAUCCUGUGGGGAGAAAUCAGCUGCACAGGAAAGAAUAAAACCUGCAGAAAUAAAACAAGGGAUGAGUUUGCCAGUUGGUUUGGUCUACAUUAUUAAACAGUGGGGAGAGUCAGCCUGAUGAUUAGUUCAGAGAGAUGAUGAUGAACUAGGAUGUUGCAGUAUGACUUUCAUUGCAGAAAACAAGACUGUCUAAGAAAACUCAUGCUCUCUGUGUACAUUUCAAAUCAGUGUUCAAACUGCUGGUGUUUCUGGCUUGGUUUCUGAGAAGAUGUGUGUCCAGUGCAGUUGCAGGAGAGAAGUCCCAUGAUUUGAAGCUCAGUCUUGCCCGUUGCCAGCUCCUAUAAGGGAAAAAUUUAUCAGUCACACAGAAGAAACAGUACUGCUCUGAAGGAAUCUGAAGGAAUGUCGGAAGGUGCUUUGACCUGGUGGUGACCACAGCUGCUUCAUUAAGGGAAAACUGAGAAAUUGCCCUGAGUUACCAUCUGUCACAUUUUAACCACCUCCUGUAGUGGAAACUGGCCGUGCAGGCCAACCCAAUGUGUGAUUUGAGUUUCGCUCUGUUUUGUUUUGUUGGGAUCUCAGAAUUGCAUUUUGAAGAAAUGAUCAAAUUAAGCACAGAUCUCAGUCUUCAUAGGUCUGCUUGUGUGGGCAUGUAAUAUCUUCAGCUUCGUAUGGCUUUGAGCAUUCCUGAAAGAGCCUUUGAUCUGAGUUAGGAUGUUUAGUAUUUCUGAGGACAUGGUACUUCAGGAUACAAACUGUUUAGGAAAUGAGACAAAACUGCAUUUUUACAAGGAUAAGUAGGAAUUGGGAAUGUACUUCAUGUGCACUGAGAGGCACUUGGAACAUCAAAGCUCUGUGUCCUAAUACUCUAGAUAGAUUGAUUAUUUCUACCACAUGAAUAGGUCACACUGAAUUUAACUUUGAGAUAAGGCAUUUGCAUGCAUACAUGCUUUUCCCGAAAUAGGUGGUUUUGUGCACACUGGUUGGUAAUAGUACACGUGAUACAAACAAAUUUUGCAAGCACACUGCACAAUACGGAUUUAUGCACCCAUAGCCCCUACUAUUCAUGUCUGAGUACCCUUUUGUGAAGGCAGGGAGAUGUGAAUGCAGGCUCAAGACUUGUGCAGAAGGGAUCAUACAGGUACAUCCAUACCUUCUUUACCAAAGGCACACCGCACUGUUGAAGUCAGUGGCAAUACUCAUGCUGACCUGAAUGGGAGCAGCUGUGGGUACUGCGCUCUCAAACUAUCCCUUACAGUGUAAUACACUUUCAGUUUUGAUAACUGUUUUAUGACUUGUAUUUCCUUUUUUUUUUUUUUUUUUUUUUUUUUAAUGUUGGUCUAACUGCUAGAAUGUGCUGUCUUUACAAUGCUUAGUUGCCCAGUAAUUCCAGCUAUCCUUUGAAAGGAGGCAGGAGGAUAAUAAACUGUGGAAUCCCAAAUCAGAUUAAUGUAAUGUGCAUUUCUAGAUUACGAUUAGUAUCAAGAUGACAAGUUGGCAUGGUAACACUUGAAGCUUAACUACGAGUUCUUAAAAUAAAGCAAUGACAUAUGUGUAGGUUUCUAUCCACUUGCACACUAUCCACCUGAUAACAUACAUCAUUUCCACAAUGCUCAGGCAAUUAAACCCUACUUCUUUUUUUUGAAAUGUGUUGAACUAAAACGUCAUGCCUCUUUCCUAGUAUUUAUGCAUAAUCUCCCACCAUAAGUUAUAAAUGUUGAUAAUGAACCUGUCCAUCUUGUAGCAUCUUAGGCUUUCUGCCUUUUGCUUUCAUUUUAAAAUGAUUAGCAUAAGGAAUACAGAACAUGCUUCAUUCUUUGUGGUUUGUUGAUCUCCUUUAAAUUCUACCAUGUCCUAAUAAGAAAAUUGUCUCACUGGUAUUGGAAAAGUCUUUUUGUUAAUUAAAUUGAUAGACCAGUGAGUGCAUUUCGUGUGGUUGAGGACUGGGAAUGAAAAUCCCAACUUUACCUCAAAUCAUUGCAAGAAAGCAGUAAAAUUUUCAAUGUGAGAUUACUAGCCAAGACAGAGAGCUUAGCUAUUAUUUUCUAGUUGCCUUAUGGUGAAAAGUAUUGUCUAGUUGUUACAGAGUCUGUUCAGCUUUCUUUCACUAAGUAGAAGUUAACUUGUUUAAUGUGCUAUCUAUGGUAAAUAUACCAGGGGAUGCUUUACAUGUGUUGUUGUUUUGUGUUAAACUUUCUCAGAAUGCAGAAUUGGGCACUUUGUUCUGAUUGCUUUAUAUGCACAAUAUUGCUUUAACCAAAUUCCUUACAGUGAAAAUGAAGAUGCUGCUAAGAUCUGUGUAAGUAAAUGCAAUCUAUUUCUGUCACCCUAAAUAGACAAAAUGGGCAGUGUUACAUGGAAAACAUGAUUUCUUUGACAGUUCAAUUAUUUAUAUAUACCCUACUGUAUAGAGCAUGCCAGGAUAUUGAAAAUAUAGCUUACAGUAUUUCCACAGCUCCUUACACAACUUUUAAAUCUCAAAUUCUGUUCUUCACACCACUAUGGAUGGCAGGUGAUAGAAGUACAAUGAUUGACCCCAGCAUGAUAAUCAUGUUACAUUCAGAAUAAUACAAUUGCCAGGAAAUGUUUCACUUACACAGUGGAGUUCCCAGGAUAAAACUCCUGCUAAGGCAUGGCUGAUGUUUGUCCUUGGGGCCUUUUAAAGAGUGGAAAUCCUGACCUGUUUUUCAUAAAUCCACAAGUAUUUCUCACUUGAAGAUGAAGGCUUUUAGUAUUUGCAUUUACUGUGGUUGUGGGAUGGAGAGAGGGAGGGACAUGGGCAUGCUGGGUUUUGCCACUAAUCCUUUGGAAAUCCUUUAGUGCCUUAAGGAGGCAGAGGGGGAACAGACCAUAGGAUUACAGAAACUUGUUCAAACCUCUUUCCUGCUUUAUCAGAAUUCCUUGAAAAUACAUUGUGCCUUUGGCUCCAAACAUAUUUGCAUUAGAAAUAAGUAGCCAUGGGAUUGUGGACAAGAAUUUUUUUCCCUGCACAAAUGUUAGGAAAGAGCAUAUACUGUUUCUUAUACAGGAUGUGAAUUAAAAAUACAGCUAACUUAAGUUCUGUCAUGGGGAUCUAUGCAUACUAGGAAAGUUGUAGGUAAAAAAAAAAAAAAAAAAAAAAAAAAAAAAAAAGGAGAAAUUUUAAAUGUACUGGAUGAAAUGCUUGUACCACUGAAGUGACUGGCAAAUGUCCACUGGCUUCCCUGGGACAAAGAUUUCAUGCUUGUUUCUACUUGGCUUAAGAAACACUCACACAUGAUAAAUAGGCAUCAUGCUCUCUUUAAUGUUAUUUAUGCACAUAGGAGAGGAAAAAAUAUAUUAGCAUUUGUGGAGACCUGACUUGAUUUGGAGUUUUUGGGAUCUGUGGUAUAAAUCUCUGUUCACUAUUGUUUCUCUAUGUAACAUAGACUCUUGCUAUGGGAAUAUGAAUAUGCAAAUCUAAAUUCCAAUGUGAGAGGUUACAGUGCAGUGUGCACUAACCGAUGCUGAACCGCUACAUCUGUCUACUCUUUGAAUUGUGGUCUUUUUUAAAAAGAAGGGAAUUGUAGUUAACAGGUGAAAACCACUCCUGUGCAAAAGAAAGCCUGUGUGAGGCAAUUCAUGCACUCACUGAUGGUCCUAAGCAGUUCUUAGGAAAAGUUGAAUAAGCUUUUAGCUCAUGAGUGAAUUUUAUCUUUUAAGAAUUAAGAGCAACUUUUUGGUAAAGAGCUACCAAAAAAAAAAAAAAAAAAGGCAAAAUACAAUGAAGGCCUGAAAAUCGGAGUGUUGGUGGUCUUCUAUUUUGCUCCCUGUGAUAACAAGCAAGUUUUAAAGAAUAUGUAAAUAGUUAAAAGAAAAUCACAUGACUUGCAGUAUGUAAGACAAGACCCAGCAUGGAACAGAUUCUUAUAGCUUGUUUAUAAAUUAUGCUUCUGUCUUUUCUUUGGAACUUGGAAAAAAAAAACCAUGUAAAUUAAACAAGGAGUAAAGACUUACUGCACACAUUUGUUUGACUGAAACAAAGAUACUUCCCCACCUCCUGAGGUCUUAAUGAGUAAUCUGGGAUGAAUAAUGCAUGGAGAUCUUGCCUUCUGAGCUCUAGGGCUGUGCAGCUAUUUAACUCUUUUGCACAGCCAACUGUGGGAUGGUAACCAGAAGUCAUGAGGAGCAGUUGUUAGGGCCACAAAUUGCGAUCCAUUUGAAGAGGUGCCAAAGAAUGAACAAAAAGUCUGGGGUUUAUUGUGUGAUACUUAUUAAGCAGAUCUACCAGUUAGACUGGGGAGGGAGGGGUGUUUGUAUAUAAAUGCUAGAAGUUUCAAUUCCAACCCGUGACCACCCUAUAACCAGGUGUCAAAUUGGUCUUGGCUAGCUGAGAAGCUUCAAUAGAAUGAGAGACCAAUCUUGUUUUCAUCCGUUCCAUUAAAACCUUCUGGAUAACUUUUCAGCAAAGAUUUCCACUUUAAGACAUUUGUAAUAGAUAUCAAAUGUACAUAUGUAUUAAUUUUCAGUGUAACUAGGGAGGAUACAGAACUGUAAUGAAGUCACAAAGUCUACUUGAUGAUUAUCACAGAUUUGUAACUCUCACAAAUUAUGUAAGAUAU